CUUGCGACAGGCUUAACACAUGCAAGUCGAGGGGCAGCACAGGUAGCAAUACCGGGUGGCGACCGGCGCACGGGUGAGUAACGCGUAUGCAACUUACCUAUCAGAGGGGGAUAACCCGGCGAAAGUCGGACUAAUACCGCAUGAAGCAGGGGCCCCGCAUGGGGAUAUUUGCUAAAGAUUCAUCGCUGAUAGAUAGGCAUGCGUUCCAUUAGGCAGUUGGCGGGGUAACGGCCCACCAAACCGACGAUGGAUAGGGGUUCUGAGAGGAAGGUCCCCCACAUUGGUACUGAGACACGGACCAAACUCCUACGGGAGGCAGCAGUGAGGAAUAUUGGUCAAUGGCCGAGAGGCUGAACCAGCCAAGUCGCGUGAGGGAUGAAGGUUCUAUGGAUCGUAAACCUCUUUUAUAAGGGAAUAAAGUGCGGGACGUGUCCCGUUUUGUAUGUACCUUAUGAAUAAGGAUCGGCUAACUCCGUGCCAGCAGCCGCGGUAAUACGGAGGAUCCGAGCGUUAUCCGGAUUUAUUGGGUUUAAAGGGUGCGUAGGCGGCCUUUUAAGUCAGCGGUGAAAGUCUGUGGCUCAACCAUAGAAUUGCCGUUGAAACUGGGGGGCUUGAGUAUGUUUGAGGCAGGCGGAAUGCGUGGUGUAGCGGUGAAAUGCAUAGAUAUCACGCAGAACCCCGAUUGCGAAGGCAGCCUGCCAAGCCAUUACUGACGCUGAUGCACGAAAGCGUGGGGAUCAAACAGGAUUAGAUACCCUGGUAGUCCACGCAGUAAACGAUGAUCACUAGCUGUUUGCGAUACACUGUAAGCGGCACAGCGAAAGCGUUAAGUGAUCCACCUGGGGAGUACGCCGGCAACGAUGAAACUCAAAGGAAUUGACGGGGGCCCGCACAAGCGGAGGAACAUGUGGUUUAAUUCGAUGAUACGCGAGGAACCUUACCCGGGUUUGAACGCAUUCGGACCGAGGUGGAAACACCUUUUCUAGCAAUAGCCGUUUGCGAGGUGCUGCAUGGUUGUCGUCAGCUCGUGCCGUGAGGUGUCGGCUUAAGUGCCAUAACGAGCGCAACCCUUGCCACUAGUUACUAACAGGUAAAGCUGAGGACUCUGGUGGGACUGCCAGCGUAAGCUGCGAGGAAGGCGGGGAUGACGUCAAAUCAGCACGGCCCUUACAUCCGGGGCGACACACGUGUUACAAUGGCGUGGACAAAGGGAAGCCACCUGGCGACAGGGAGCGAAUCCCCAAACCACGUCUCAGUUCGGAUCGGAGUCUGCAACCCGACUCCGUGAAGCUGGAUUCGCUAGUAAUCGCGCAUCAGCCAUGGCGCGGUGAAUACGUUCCCGGGCCUUGUACACACCGCCCGUCAAGCCAUGGGAGCCGGGGGUACCUGAAGUCCGUAACCGCGAGGAUCGGCCUAGGGUAAAACUGGUGACUGG
rnacentral:rRNA from 1 species